GGGUGGCGGCUCGUCUCCCCCCUUUGGUGGAAGGUGGGUGCCUGAGGAGCCUCCCUCCUCCUCUUCCUCGAACAGGUUCCCGAACAUGCCGGUGGCCGGGCUGACUCUGAAGCAAGAAGACUUCACGGGGCUGAACAUAGCGACUGUGACUGGAUGCUAUGCGCGUUAGCCUCGCAGGUAGCUAGCUCACCACGCUAACCGAAGCUAAAUCAAUGGCAGGACACUGACGAGCAGCUGGACCGGAAAAAAAAUCACGCUGUCGGUAACAUUAACGGUCUGAGUCCGUACUGAUGGAGGAAAGAAACACUUUAAACCGAACCCUGGAUUAUAUUUUAUUCCAAAUGGCCCCUGACACUGGCUCGUUCUCCUCUGUGUGUCUGACUCCUGAUAAGAAACGAAACGUAAAUAACAAGACCGUCGUUGGACAGUGAGCAGCCAUGUUUCUUCCAGCCAGAGAACGCACUGAUGCAUUAUGGUACUUGUAGUUUCACACUGGGUUAACAUACUCGCUUAAAAUCAACACAACCUAAAAUCUUUAAACAUUACCUCAAAAUAAAUAUUGUAUUUUUUUGUUGUAUUUUUCUUUCUGUGUUUCUCUCUUUACGAUGCAGCCAUUUUAAUUUUAACAUGAACUUGGCUGCACAAACUACAUUUACCCAUGUUUCCCAGCAGCCAUGUUUCGUCCUGUACUGAUGCAUUGUGGUACUUGUAGUUUCACACUCGGUGAACUUGCACUGAAUGUAUUUUCUUUUAACAUUGCCUGGUCAGUACUAAAAAAUAUAUUAGAACAAUGUU